rnacentral:lncRNA from 1 species
AGGGCAACCACCACGGUUAAGCCACCAUUAACGGUGACCUUGAUUAAUCAAAUAACUGUGACGGGCACAGGCAACCACCACGGUUAAGCCACCAUUAACGGUGACCUUUCAACCACGGCGGUUGCCUUUGCCCGCCUCGAAAAAGAUAUCUGUAGUAGUGUUUCUAUUAUGUUGACAUCGGGAAUGUAGGAUUUUUUGCUUUCUUAC